UACGGGGGGAGCAAGCGUUGUUCGGAUUUACUGGGCGUAAAGGGCGCGUAGGCGGCCACCGCAAGUCGACUGUGAAAUCUCCGGGCUUAACCCGGAAAGGUCAGCCGAUACUGCGGGGCUAGAGUGCAGAAGGGGCAACUGGAAUUCUCGGUGUAGCGGUGAAAUGCGUAGAUAUCGAGAGGAACACCUGCGGCGAAGGCGUCCAUCUGGCCCGUUACUGACGCUGAUGCGCGAAAGCUAGGGGAGCAAACGGG
rnacentral:rRNA from 1 species